CCUGGGAGUUAUAGAAAUCACUUCCGAAAUUGGUGGGAGGAAAAAGCGAGGUAUGGAGACACGGGGGCGUAUCCCUCUUCCAGAAUUCACGUUCCUUCCUUUGAUGUCUCAAUACAGAUGAGUCUCUCAAGGAAGGACCCAAGAGAUACUCUCUCCCUACCUCCAUGAGGAAAAUGGAACCCAGGGAGAGCAGCAAGCUGAUAGCAGAAUCAGGAUCACAAUGCAGAUUGCAUUGCUUUGCUUGUGAGGAGACCCCUUCAAGACUGCUGAAAAGAAGCCAUCACAUGCCCUUGGCCAGAAGCCUGGCAUAGUGAAAUUCCGAGAGGUGGAGUUCCUUUUUUAUUUUUUUCUAUUAUGAUUUUCCUCUAUUAAAGAAAUAGCAAUUAAUAUUUGAGAAAAUGUGCUCUAAUUACAUUUUGCAAUCCAUGCCCUUGGGUUAAAGUGAACCCAGAUGUAAUUAUUUUUGUGAAAUAGCUCUUAACUCUCUGCAUAUUAAGUCUUGCUUCCUUUAAAAGCAGCAGGAUGCCUUCACAUCAUUGCUGUUGGCAUUUUCUUGUCAGAAUUACUAAGGAUUAAUUACAAAUUACUUUUAUUGCACUGGGAGUAGGCAGCACAGAAUCAACAAUGUCUCCUAAACGUUAAUGUAGUCAGUAGUUUUCAGUCAUUUUGGUCUCAAAACUCCGUAGCCUUUUAAAAAUUGAGGACUCCAAAAAACUUGUGUGCAUACGGCUUUAUCUAUGAAUAUUAUUAGAAAUAAAAACUGAGAAACUUAAAAAAUCUGUACUUAUUAAUUUAUUUUAAAACAACAGCAAUAAUCCUGUUGCAGUGGGAUUCAUGGGUUAUUAUUAUUUUAAAAUAAAUUAAUAGGUAAAGAGUUACAGAAAUAGUUUAACAUAUUUUUAUGAAAAAAUAACAUUUAAAAAAAUGCUAAGAGCAACAUUGGUUUUAGAGUUUUGUAAAUCUCUUCUAUCUCUGGCUUAAUAUGAGACAGCUGGAUUCUCAUACCUGCUUCUUCCUUGAGUCCGUUGCAGAUAUCAUACAUCAUGCAACCUCAGAAAAGCUCCACUUACAGGAGAGAAUGAGUCUGAAAAAGAACCAUAACAUGCUGGUAUUGCGGUGAAAAUAGUUUUGACCUCGUGAGCUCACUAAAAGUGUUUCAAGGAUACUUGAGGGUCUCUGGACCACAUUUUGAGAACCA
rnacentral:lncRNA from 1 species